rnacentral:lncRNA from 10 species
AGAUUUUGUGUGUGUGUGUAUGUGUGUGCGUGCGCGUGCAGCGAACUCCUUCAACGACCUUUUCCAGCGCUUGCAAAAUUUCUUAAGCCAAUUAGCCUGCGGGACGUGAUCGGCUCCUUCCCCAGCCAGCUCCGCGCCAUUCCCUGCGCCUAAGCAGGCGGGCACCCCCAGGACCCUGGGACCUUCCACGCCCACGCGGCCUCCUCCCCACCGCGCUCCCCUUCCUCCUUUUUGUGAGCUCCCUCCAUACAUGAUCUGCAGAAAGUUCCCAUCGCGGGCGUUUCCGCACACCCCUCCGCAAGGACAACUGGGCAAACUCCCGUUUCCCUGGCUGCGGUUCGUGAGCUGGGUUUCCAAUGGCUCAGUCGACCGUGUGCACAAACUUGCGCUUUAUCCGCCGGGGAUCGCUGGGAGCGGAGAUAAAUUCAAUCCCCAGGGCAAUCUUGGCCCCGCCCGCCCCACCCCAUCCUGUGCUUAAAUAGAGCCUUUCUUGAAGCUGCGAACAUUUCCAGGCCCCUUGGGCAGGGCUGGAGGGGCCGAGGAGAGCUAUUCGAGGGAAAGGUGCCCCGAGGGGCAGGAAAUUAAGUUGGGGCUGCCCGGGCGAGCUGCCAGGUAGCCGUGCUCGCCACGGCGUCUCAUGGGGCACCUAGCUAGUGGCGGGCCUCAUAGGGCGGGAAAAGAAUCGUCGCUCACACCCCAGCAAAACGUGGCCCUCGACGGUCCGUUGGAGAGCCCCGGCGGCCGUGAGCCCCGGGCAGGGCUGGACGUCUGCGGAGCCCUCGGGCACUUUGUCCCGGGCGCCUGGGGAGGAACGCGGAGCUCCCAGGGCCUUAGGUGCAACGGCUGCGCAGAGCCCAAACGAAAUGUCCCCAGUGCGGAAAAGCCGGUGACGCCCUGGUAGCAAGACCAAGAGCUUCCGAAGAACGCUGCGCCCUUAACUAGGGGGCCUCGCAGAGAUGCCUGUGUGGGCCUGCAUUGUAUAUUUCUGCGAAAUAGCGAAUGGACACGUUUGCUCAGGGUUUUUAUGGUUGCCAAAGGGGGUAAAAUUACCCAGUCCCCCAAAUCUGUGUCCCAUGAAUCCCUCUCAUAGUACCCCUCUCCAGGGGGCCAAGAGGUCCUCCAGGUCCCCGUGGGUUCGCAGCUCCACCCGCCCUUCCUCGCCCUGCAUCCCUAAGGAGAGGUGUCCGCUCUGAAGGGCUAGGGGCCAGCCAUGGAGUGAGGGGACCGGGGCUGACCACGCGCGGCACAGACAGAGGUCCUCAGGCGGGCCCUCUCCUGGACGGUGGGGCCGGAGCUGAUCUAGAAGAAAUACGGAGGGACGUGCCGAGAAGCCGCUCUCCUUCGCCGCGACCCUGGAGAGCGCCUCUCCACCCAAAGGAUCUGCCGAGCUGAGAGAUCCAGGGCGGGCGUCCGCAGCCGUGAGGCCCCCUGCGCCGCCAGUAUGGGAAGAUCCUGCCUCCUUACACCUUGGAGAACGCUGGGCGACGACUAAAGCGCCUUCCGCCGGCCUGUCACUCCAUGUGACACAGGAGCCACGUGAGACCCAGAAGAGUCCAGCGACUCGCCGCGCGGCGCACUUUAAACUCUAGCCUGAGUCUGCGACCCCUCCAGCUCUCCAGUCCCCAGCUGUUGGGGACAUCAAGCCGGAGCCCUGGGCUCUCUGCCCUGUGGGUCGCUGAAAGCAGAGACUCCUCAAACCAACCGAACCGGGCGCAUUAACCCUCUCGCCUGCACCCCGCUGCCUCCCGGUUGAGCCCCGAGGCGGCUCCAGGUAGAACCUGCUGGACUGACUGCGGCGUCCAGAAAUCUGGAGUGUGGGCUCCAGACACUCUCCACGGUUUGGCCCCGGGUCUCAACACCCAAGUCGCCUCUUCUGGCUCCUUCACCACACAGCGGGGCCUGUGGAAAGGGAGGGGCCGAGAGACCCGUCGGCGCACCACUGUCCUCGAGGGGUCCCCACCCUGUGCACUGCUGAAGCGCAGGGCGCGCCGCGGCAGGAAUGGCCCCGAGUGCGGAUCCCCUGCCCUGAGCCUCCCACUCUUGGCCCGCGCUGCGCCUACCCAGUGGCCCUGGCCCCGCAGGGCGACAGCGGCUGCUCCCUCCCAUUUGCGUCCCAGACCGCGCGGCCUCGCUUAGCUCCCGGGAGCCGACAGGCGCUUGCCCUGGUGCCAGCGCAGGGCUUCCCGGGGGCUUGGGGUAG